ACGGGUGAGUAACGCGUAGGAAUAUGCCUUAAAGACUGGGACAACUUGGGGAAACUCAAGCUAAUACCGGAUAAUGUCUGCGGACGAAAGCUGGGGACCUUCGGGCCUGGCGCUUUGAGAUUAGCCUGCGUCCGAUUAGCUAGUUGGUAGGGUAAGGGCCUACCAAGGCGACGAUCGGUAGCUGGUCUGAGAGGAUGGCCAGCCACACUGGAACUGAGACACGGUCCAGACUCCUACGGGAGGCAGCAGUGGGGAAUAUUGGACAAUGGGGGCAACCCUGAUCCAGCAAUGCCGCGUGUGUGAAGAAGGCCUGAGGGUUGUAAAGCACUUUCAGUGGGGAGGAGGAAUGGUAGGUUAAGAGCUAGCUAUUUGGACGUUACCCACAGAAGAAGCACCGGCUAACUCCGUGCCAGCAGCCGCGGUAAUACGGAGGGUGCGAGCGUUAAUCGGAAUUACUGGGCGUAAAGGGUGCGUAGGUGGUUUGAUAAGUUGUCUGUGAAAUUCCUGGGCUUAACCUGGGCAUGUCAGAUGAUACUGUUAGACUAGAGUAUAGGAGAGGGUAGUGGAAUUUCCGGUGU
rnacentral:rRNA from 1 species